AUUGAACGCUGGUGGCAGGCCUAACACAUGCAAGUCGAGCGGAUGAAGGGAGCUUGCUCCUGGAUUCAGCGGCGGACGGGUGAGUAAUGCCUAGGAAUCUGCCUGGUAGUGGGGGAUAACGUCCGGAAACGGGCGCUAAUACCGCAUACGUCCUGAGGGAGAAAGCGGGGGAUCUUCGGACCUCACGCUAUCAGAUGAGCCUAGGUCGGAUUAGCUAGUUGGUGGGGUAAAGGCCUACCAAGGCGACGAUCCGUAACUGGUCUGAGAGGAUGAUCAGUCACACUGGAACUGAGACACGGUCCAGACUCCUACGGGAGGCAGCAGUGGGGAAUAUUGGACAAUGGGCGAAAGCCUGAUCCAGCCAUGCCGCGUGUGUGAAGAAGGUCUUCGGAUUGUAAAGCACUUUAAGUUGGGAGGAAGGGCAGUAAGUUAAUACCUUGCUGUUUUGACGUUACCAACAGAAUAAGCACCGGCUAACUUCGUG
rnacentral:rRNA from 1 species